GGCUAAGCUGUGGUCGCCAGUCACCUCCGCGAGGAGUAGGGAACCCGGUGAGAUUCCGGGACUGACGCGCAGCGGUAUGGGGAUACGAGGCAGGCCACUCGAUCGUUGAGAGCCACUGGAAGCAACGCUUCUGGGAAGGCGGCCCGCCGAGGACGACCCCCGAGUCCGAAGACCUGCUGGCGCCUGCGGUCCUCC
rnacentral:ncRNA from 2 species